AGCCUCCUGAGUAACUGGGAUUAAAGGUGCCCGCCACCAAGCCCAGCUAAUUUUUGUAUUUGUAGUAGAGACAGGGUUUCACCAUGUUGGCCAGACUGGUCUCGAACUCCUGACCUCAUGAUCCACCUGCCUCGGCCUCCCAAAGUGCUGGGAUUACAGGCAUGAGCCACCGUGCCUGUCCUGUCCUAAGUUUUUAAUGUAUAUUAGGUCACUUCAUCUUUAAAUCCUUUUGCUGUAAACUGUUUAAAACCACACUCCUGAGAUCCACCCCCAACUGUGCUUCCCUCACAGCCUUCCUUAUCUCAGGAAGCAGCUUCCACUUGCUCAAAAAACAUUUCUGGAGUAAUUCUUGAUUCUCUCCCAUUCCUCACAUUGAGUCCAACAGCAAGCCCUCUCAGUUCUGCCGUCAAAAUAUGGCCAGGAUUGGUCCCAUCUCAACACCACCACAACCACUCUGAUCCAAGCCUCCAUAAUCUCCUACUUGGAUCACUGCAGUGCCUUCCUCCCCGACGCCUUCCAUGCUGGUGCUUCCCCAGUCUAGCCAGAUUCUAGAUCCUAGAUCUCUGCUAAGAACCUUCCAAAAGCUCCCUUCACAUGGUCAUGAUCUGGCCUCCACCCCCCUUCUUGCAACUUUUUUCUCCUUUGACUCCAUUCUGGACAUACUGGCCUCCUUGCUGUCACCUAGCCAUGCCAAGCAUGGAACAUUCCUCUGCCCGGAACAUUCUUGGCCUUGAUAUCUGCAGGGUUCACUCCCUCACUGGUGUACUCACCAAUGUCAUAUUCUUCAUAAAGUGUUCUCUAAUGACCCUUCACAAAGUAGUAGCCUCCACCCCCUACCUACCCUGAUUUUUCUUGUGCACUUCCUGUGCUCAUCAUCAAUACAGAACAUAAGCUCCUAGAGGCCAGGGACUUUGUUCCAUCUUGUUUGGUGCUGUCUCUCUAAACCUAGACCAUCUCCUCUCCCUAGGGCAUGUGUGCUGGUUGGAUUCUUCUAGGUUUUAGAUUCAGUGAUGCCAGCUCUCCUAGGCCUCCCUGUUUCAUGGAGAUGCCCAGGAGCCUGAAGGUGAGGGGACUGAGAUGGACAGAAGACAAGCGCUGUUUGGAGGGAGGGGAGCAGGUAGCAGCCAAUGGGCUCCAGGAUGCUUCUCGCAGAGGGGGCAAACCCCAUGAGCUGAUGAUCAUCGAAGCUGAUGAGGAUGUGGAUAAUGGAGCAAUGUGUGAAUGCUGGUCACAGUCAACCUUUCCAGGACUGCUGCAGAUAUCCCUGACUCCUUGAUUCUGGAGCUAUCAGGGAAGUGAAGAUCUGUAAGUCCACUGCUUCUUUACCCUUUACGUCCACACCCCCUUCAGAGAGAAAAAUUUCAUACUUCUUUUCUGGUAUGCAAUAUGAAAACGGCUUUCUUUUAAAUUCAACAGAGUUCCAGUGUAGUGGCUCUGUAUGAGUUUGUCC
rnacentral:lncRNA from 10 species